rnacentral:rRNA from 1 species
GCACGGAGUUAGCCGAUCCUUAUUCUUACGGUACCGUCAAGCUCCUACACGUAGGAGUGUUUCUUCCCGUACAAAAGCAGUUUACAAUCCAUAGGACCGUCAUCCUGCACGCGGCAUGGCUGGAUCAGGCUUGCGCCCAUUGUCCAAUAUUCCUCA